AACGAACGUUAGCGGCGCGCCUAACACAUGCAAGUCGCACGAGAAAGGGCUUCGGCCCCGGUAAAGUGGCGCACGGGUGAGUAACACGUGGGUAACCUUCCCUCGAGCGGGGAAUAACAUUCCGAAAGGAGUGCUAAUACCGCAUAAGACCACGGCUUCGAAAGGAGCUGAGGUAAAAGCUGGCCUCUUCAUGAAAGCUAGCACUCGAGGAUGGGCCCGCGGCCCAUCAGCUUGUUGGUAGGGUAACGGCCUACCAAGGCUAAGACGGGUAACUGGUCUGAGAGGAUGAUCAGUCACACUGGAACUGAGACACGGUCCAGACUCCUACGGGAGGCAGCAGCGGGGAAUCUUGCGCGAUGGACGAAAGUCUGACGCAGCGACGCCGCGUGGGUGAUGAAGGCCCUCGGGUUGUAAAGCCCUGUGGGGAGAGACGAAUAAGUCUUGGCUAAUAUCCAAGAUGAUGACGGUAUCUCCUUAGCAAGCACCGGCUAACUCUGUGCCAGCCGCCGCGGUAAAAC
rnacentral:rRNA from 1 species